AUGGGCCGCUUGGAUGACCAUGCCAAGAAGCGGAUUGUAGAGCUGCGCAAAGCUGGGCUGAGCUUCCGCAAAAUCAAAAAGGUCCUGGAGCUGGACAACAUCCGAGUGACCCCCCAAGCCGUCUACCUCUUCCUGAAGCGAAAGAAUGUGGAGCCUGCCCAGUCCCCAACUGCCUCCCACCCCCAGCCAGCCGUGGGCCGGGGGAACAGGACAAUGACCAUCAAUGGAUCUGGCUGGGAGGAUGAACAGCUCUGGAACUUGCUGCAGGAAAAUGAGACUGAACAGAGCAAGCAGCUGGAGCCGGUGGGCAGUAGGCAGUCGGGUCCCAGGUCCCCAGUGCCCCCUGGAGGAACUGUUGUGAGCUGUGAGAGGCUCUCCAUCCGUGACAACCAGGACAGCAAGGAAGGCAUCAAAAUUGUCAGUGUGACUUCACUGUGCAAGGACAGUGGGCAGUUUGGGAAUGUGUCUGCUGCACCAAUGGGACCCUCUCCAGGGUCACAGCUGACCCCCAGUAACAUCAAUGCAGGUGAUGACUGCUCUGUGACUCAACCCUCUCCUUUGAGCAGCCGCUCAGCUCUGCUUCCACCGGCAUCCUCCCAGCACCAGUUGAACAACAGGGGGAAAAUAUUUCUGCCCCCUGCCAGGAACCCAGCCUUAAUUGUGAAGAAGAAGAUUGUAGAUAGAGCCAUCCACCUCCAGAAAAAGGUGAACAUUCAGAACGGGCAGAAUCCAUCUGGCUCUACAAGUGUCCUGCCUUUUGUGGUAGGAGUGCAGCCAGGCAGCCAGCCUCCCAGAAUGAACCCAGCUACCAUGGCAGCUUCCACGAACCACCACACACAGGUCAAAGAUGCCAGCACUCAAACUGUCCCGCUCAGUGGUACUAGUCCUCUGGGCAGUCAGAACUCAGUGUGGGGAGGGCAGAUGCUUGCCAUCUCCCAGAACCCUCUUGCCAUUGUCGAGAAGCUGGAUGCACUACAUUCAGAGAUCCAGAAACUGACUCACACCAUGCAGGCUGUGCUAGAGAGGCAGUGCAGCAUGGAGCGCCAGCAGGACCAGCAGCAGCGUUUCCAGCAAGAAGUGCUUAUGAUGCUUCAGCAGCUCAGCUCCACAGUCAGCCACGGAGCAGUGCCAGGAAACCAGCCCUGUGUCCCUUUCAGCAGCAUGGCAGAUCCUUCACCCACUGUACCAAACUUCAGCCAGUUCAAGAUGGAGAUCAUCUAA
rnacentral:lncRNA from 1 species